rnacentral:rRNA from 1 species
ACAGAGGGUGCUAGCGUUGUUCGGAAUCAUUGGGCGUAAAGGGCGUGUAGGCGGUUUGUUAAGUCAUGUGUGAAAUCCCUCGGCUUAACCGAGGACGUGCGGAAGAAACUGCAAGGCUCGAGUCCGGAAGAGGGGGGCGGAAUUCCCAGUGUAGCGGUGAAAUGCGUAGAUAUUGGGAGGAACACCAGUGGCGAAGGCGGUCCCCUGGGCCGGAACUGACGCUGAGGCGCGAAAGCGUGGGUAGCAAACGGGA